rnacentral:lncRNA from 1 species
AAUGAUUCUUGGCUUUCUCUAUUUGCUUUGUCCCCGACACUUUACUCCGACUGUAGAGUCACCAUCUUCCUCAUCAAUAAUCAAAGGCUAAAAACCCCAUCCUUGCUUAAUUUCUGUUUAAUUUGUUUCUUCUUUCCUUUUUGGGGCCCCAAGAUUUUGGCUUGCUAAAUAAUCAGAAUAAAUUUGGGUUUGUCAUUCUUUCCUUUCCUUUUCUUUGCACAUGUUUUGUCAACAAUUUCUGUACUUUAGUUUAAAUAUUAUACUUUUUUCUUUUUUAAUCUUUGGAAUAGUAAACAACCUAUUAUUUUCCUCUAAUGUGUGAUCUUUAUUCGAUUUUAUAUAAUUCAAUUUAAAAUUUUGGGUUCUGUCCAUCAAUUUCCCCUUUGCUCUUCAUAUAAUGCAUGAGCAUUAAAAUCCUUUUAUCUUUGUUUUAAAAUUUCAUUUUGGAUCGCUCCGGUAGCACUUAGAAUGUUAGAAAUUUGCUGAAGAGUUCCUAUUAUAGAUAACCUCAUGGUUCACUUAUCCUGCCUAUAGGUAGACAUGGUGGUGACAAGGUGAUUUAUGCAGUUGGGUGAAAAGAUUCAAUAUAUUGAGUUAUCGAUAAGAGCCGAUACAAUGCAGAACAUGGAGGAAAGAAAACAUAGCAGCACCUUUAUGGUGCAUUUUCUGCCAUUAUUUGGUCCAAAAUAAAUGAAAAAUGCCCAAGUGUUAUUCUGCAAAAUUUUGUCUGUACCUGUAGCAUAACUGGGGAGGAAAUGUUGACACAAUUGAUGUUUUGAUCUCAAUUGCACAGUAGACCAAAACUACAGGUAUGUGGAGUACAUAAGUUUUUGUGAUAGUGGAUUGUUUCCAAUAGGAGUAUUAAGUUGAUCAAUACUAUACAAGAUUUACUCUUACUUUUGAAGGAUAACAAAACGUAACGAAAAUAAACCAUUACUUUGUAAUAUGUCUCUACUGGGGGUUAUAACUCAUUUUAGUAAUUGCUGUUUUAUUUUGCAAUUAUUUCUUCAAUUAGGAUAAUGAAAGAAAAUAAAUAUAUGUAACAUAAAAGAGGAAAUCUUCUGGCUGAUUUAGCUCAUCAGGCGAUGAACCUCUUGUGCAAGGGAUGGACAAGGAGAGGUUAUUCGCCAUUGCCAGUCUUUAACAUGUAAUGCUUAUGACAUUAAGCUUAUAGCUAUGACAGCGAGGAGGGGGGGCAAAGAUAGUAGAAUACAUCGAAAAAGAACACUUUCUCACAUAAAUUUUCAAAACCAUUAAUCAAAUAAUAAUGGUGAAAUUGUCUUUUUCUGGAUGUACUAUUUUGUAAAUUUCAUAUCAGGGGUUGUAGCAAUUAUUUGUUCAGCGUUUUCUGGACCUCCAUGUAUUCUUUUAGCUUUUCCAUCUUUUGGUUCCAAUAGAUUACCUCAUUGGAAAUACUUGCACGUAGGAGGACAAAAUGAUGGCUUAAACCACCAAUAUGAUGAGAUAUUACAGCGAUAAGGUAAUGGCUUAUAUUGGUCUUUAUCUAAUGGUGUACUUUAGAUCCUCUAUUUAUUUCUUCUUUGGAAUCUAAUUUCAGAAUUUACACUGCAUCAAGAUGCUGCAUAUCAUUUUAUUGCAUGUUGUUUAUAUCUUUGACAAAACACAAUCUUAUAGAGUCUCUGCAAAUUUUAUGAUUGGUUUUGUUUGUUAUUCUUAGUAUCAAUUGACACUAUAUGUCAAUAGAGGACCAUUUGAAUUUCUACUUGUAAUAUGUUGCUUUUAAUUUAAUUAGACUUACCUGCAUGAUGAUAUAUGCAACCUUGCAAAAGGAAUUUGUUCUAUGUCUUGUCAUUUUUAAUAGUGUAUAUGCUGAUUUUAAUCGUUGGUAGUAUUCCUGGAUAAGUUGGCUUUCUUGUUCCAGUCAACUUAUCAAUGAAUGCAGCUAACUUUGCUAAAGAAAUGUAUUAUUGCUAACCAGUGAAAUAUUUAUAAUAUUUUAAGUUGAAGAACUAGCUACUUUAGCUUUGAAAUAGUAGUAGGAUCACAUGAUCGAGGAUAUUCUGUAAAAUAAGUAGAGAAGGUUAAAAAUUUGAACAUAUUCAUGAGUUGGUUAAAGUGAUGUCAAUUGAAUGUAAAUUGCAAGGACAUGGAUUGGGAUUCAACAAUGUGGCCAGAUGCACAAGUUAGUAAAAUUGAUGAUACCAGUACAAUUAUGAAACCUAGAGGAAGAGUUUGAUGACAUCUAAUCACAUGGCAUGGGGUAAUAACUAAUGAGAAGGAUUUUGAAUCUUCGUGUUAUAGCUUUUGAGAUGUCCCUUGUUACUUGUUGUGGCUGAGAAGAAAAAGAGGAACCAUGUACUUGGCUUGAGAUAAGAAUGGGAUAUGGUUUCGUUGAGUUGUGUACCCCAUAAACCAGGUAUGAUGCUGGUAUCUUGCUCGAUCUUCAGAACCUAUUGGCUGCAGUUGUUUGCAGAUACCUGUUUGUGGAUAUCAGUUAUGGGUAUAACUAGCAGUGUGUCAGAAUGCAAAUGCACUGGAAAGGGAUUUAAGAUCAGGGGUAACAGAAAUGUACUCAAAGUUUCAGCGUUCUUUUAAUUAUUAUAGAAAGCCUUCCAUUAUAUAUCCAAUGCAUGUCUUCAUUUACCAUAGUAGCUAAUAAGUAUCAAGAAGAAACCUUCCUCCUGAAAUCUGCCAGAAAAGAGCAUUUUUCGGAGUUCCUCUAGCUUUUUUAACCUUCGUGCCACUACCUAGCAGAAAACUUCAUUGUUUUUAUGAGUUAGGGUGAAGGAGUCAGCACUCUUCUUCACAUACUUUGCAGACAUAAUAAGCUAAUUUUAGUAAUUUCAAGAAAUAAUUCAAGGGCAUAAUGACCAAAAUUUGUGAGAGUACCAUCCUUAGACAUCUUAUUGAAGUGCUGAAUUACUAUGUUGGGAUUUAAAGAAUUUUACAUGCAGAGUUCAAGAAAUGUAUCAUCUAUAGUUUAGCUACUUAAUUGAAAUGGUUUCCUAUCAGACAACAUGAAACCUGAGUUCUCUUAAUUCUAUAAUACAAUUAUUUGACAAUUUUGAUCACUGUAAAAAAUCUUUAAUAUCUUAUCUGUCUUGCAUACAAAUUCAAAGUUCUUCCUUUAUGAUGGACCAGGCCACCACUUACUCUCAGCUUCAAAAGUCCCUCUCCCUUUUGGUCCAGUAACCUACCAAAUUCGCUUAGUUACAAUGUUUGGCUGCAUAAAUUUAAAAAAAAAAAAAAAAAAAAAAAAUUUCCCUCAAAACCACUGUAGAUGGUAUGUUUUAUUAAUAUAAAAAUUUAGACACAGAACAAAAAAAAUAAACCAAAAACAAAAACUUACCGCAUCUGGAGAUGGAGGGUGUACAAUGAAAAUUAAAAAUUACAAUUCAUGCACCAUAGCAUUAUUCCUAGUCACCAUAUGUUUUGUGAAGUUUCUCUCCAUCUUCUAGCCCCUUCAGACUCACUACUUAAAUUGGACCUUCUUUGGACUAAUGAGUUUCAUCUUCAGAUGUAUUGGAUAAUAUAGGCGGGGCUAUGUAUUUGCAUAUAUUUUCUGUGGACUGGAUCAAAGACUGACAAGGAAUCUUUUAUGUAUUUGUAGUUUCUGUUAAUAUCUUUUAUCUUUCAGAAAAACAAAGGGUUGCAAUUGAUUGAGUGUUGAAUGACAAUAAAGCCCAAGAUUUGCAGUGAGACCCACCUUUCACAUGUUGACAUGCAAUUCAUUCUCGACUCGUUGCAGGUUUUAGUUCUUGGUCAGCCUGGAAAGGAGCUGAGUUUGCACUUUGCAGUUGAUGCUAAGAUUUGUUGCCAAUGUUCAUCUCAAAGUAAGUAUUGCUUGUAUUAAAUUAUUAAAUAUAACUUUGUAUGCCUUCAUAUCAGCAAUGCUAGAAAUGAAACAUUUGCAUUCUUUCCAUUUCAGUAAGGUAAAUUGUCAGCUGGAAGUGUCUUGGUUUAUACUUUAUACAUGCAUAGUGACAUCGAGCACACUAUUCUUGUACAUAUGAAUUUAUAUUCUAUAUUUAAGUUGUUUGCCAAGGCUUGGGUUGACCUUUAGCUCAACAGAGCGGGUCUAGAUCCCUACCAAGCACUACAGCAAAGUUGUUUCUUCUAUCCUUAUUGUGCUUUAUGUAGGCUUAGCCUGGUGAAGCAGAGAAUGGGCAAUGUGCAGUGGUAUAAUUUAACACGUUUAGUUAAAAAAUCGCUAAUUCAAAAGGCUUGACCUGUGUUUAAAUAGAUUGGGUCGAGCGAACCUGCAGUGUGAAUCCCUUUGUUUCUUAUAUCUCACCUUAAACUGUGUAUAUCUCCAACAGGUCCUAACAAUUGUCCCUUUAAUGCGCCGUAUAAAAAAUUGAUUCUGUCUGAUUGAGAGCUUAUUACCUGUUUGACAACCAUUAUUUGAGGAAAUAAAGUUUUGAAUAGUGAUUUUUAGGAGAAUGUGUAGUUAAAUGGUAGAAAAAAGUUUUGGAUUUAAGUACAAAAUAUUUUAUUGUGUGAAUGUGUAGUUGAAAAUGAAUGUGUAAAAAGGAGUUUGAAAAUAAAGGCUGUAAAACAGUGGCUAAAGUUCAUUGGCCUAAACAAAUGGCAUGCAUUAAAAAACUGUGAUAUGCUUGGGGGACGAACUCUUGAGAAUUAGAUAGUAUUCUCAUUUCUCAGUUUACAUAGAAAUCUAGUAGCACCGUCUCAAUUUUGUCUAAGCAGUUAUACUCUCAUGAAGCUGACAAUCUUCUAGAUAACAUGAUGCUCUGUAUUUAUUCCACUGUCAUCUUUAUUCGUGUAUGAUUAAAAGAAAGGAUUGCUUUCACUUGUGGUGUCUAUAGGUGCACUUUACAAAUUUAUUCGAAUAUUUUUUCUUGUGCUUUGAGUGUGACAAUUAUUUAUUUGUUGAACUUUUUAUCGUUUUGUAUAUGUUUCCUCAAUGUGACACCGAGGAAAGUCCUAUAUCCCGAUGCAUUGGCUUGCAGGAAGGGUACAAGGAUUGAUGAAAUGUUCGAGGAUAUAAGGGAAGUCUUGUCCAUUUGCCAAGAUACUUGGGGUAAUCGAAAUAUCUUUGAGGCCAUCAAUUGCAAAUAAUUUUACGAGGCAGCCAUAGUCAAUUUUAUCAUAUGGUUGCUCAUAUUCAAUUUGAUGCGGCAGGAUUUUGGAUGCCAUUUUGCAGUAACCUUGCCAGGCUACUCAUAACUCGAACUGGGCGGGACUUUGUUUUUGCUCCUUGGUCAACUUUUUUAAGUAUAUUUUUUCAAUCCCCAAAAUGGUUUGUUGUACCAACAAAAAAUAUUACGGAAUAAAUUACUCUUGUGGGCUUGACUCAAGAUCUUAUUAUAUCAUCAUUUUUUCAGUCUGAAGCAUUAAUCUAGGUUCUUGUCAUACAGAAUGGCAUUUUCG